UGAGGAAUAUUGGUCAAUGGGCGAGAGCCUGAACCAGCCAAGUAGCGUGCAGGAUGACGGCCCUAUGGGUUGUAAACUGCUUUUAUAAGGGAAUAAAGUGAGUCUCGUGAGGCUUUUUGCAUGUACCUUAUGAAUAAGGACCGGCUAAUUCCGUG
rnacentral:rRNA from 1 species